GAAGGAGGUCUGGGCUGUGCAUGCUCUGCUUUUCCUGCUGCUGGUCCAGCUCCCUGCUCAUCCUUCUCUUCCCCACGGGAUUCAUCCAGUGCACAGGAGGAAGAUUGUGAGCAGAGGAGGAGGAGCAGAGCCACCAUGUGGAGCCAGACCACAGCCCAGGGGACAGCCACCAGCUCGGGCGCGGUGUCACUGCUGACAGUCCUGAUCCUUGCUGCUGGAUCUCGGGGGAGUGGGGCACAAAAUAACUGCGUGGAGGUGACAAUGAGGAGGUAGCUUGGCUGGCUGUCCUGAAGAGAAGUCCCAACAGCAGCAGCAGCCUUGGCUGAGUAGUGUGGAGCAACAUGAGAAGAGCCAUGAGAGAGAGGAGUCCUGCCUGCCAGCCCCUCCUACCUGCAGCUUCCAGGUCCUGUGGAUAGUGCAGGCAGCAGCUUGGAGAAGAGAGUAACCACCAACACUUACUGAGUGAUCUCCUUCGGCCUCAGCCCAGCUGACUCCAGCUACUGCCCCCCCCCUCCUGCCUCAUGUACGUUCUGCUGUGGACUGCCACCCUCCCCAUCUUCUCCAGCCUCAGGUGGACUUGGAGAAGGGUUGCCACACUCAGGUGAGACCUGCUGGGCAACAAACUCUCAUGUGCAGCACAGCAACACAUCGUGCCCAGGAAUGUCCCAGGAUCUUCUAAGCAUCCCUCUGCUGCUUCAUAGCUGCCAAGUGCCACUCGCCUGGACCCGCGGGAGCUUGCAGCCUCCCUGUGUGUGUGGUGCACAUCUGUGUGCCUGCAUUCCAGCCUGCUCCUGCCUUUCCUGCUGUCCACAGGGGCGCUGUGCAAGCCUCACUCCGCACCUGUAACACUACCCACAUCCAGGCUCCUUCUCUGCUUACGGCUGUGUUGCUUCUCUUCCACCAGCAGGCUGCUCUGACUGCCUUCCCCAGGGUGGGCUGGAUCGCGAAGGGAUUAAAAAGCUCAUUGAGAGCAGUGGAAAGCAACUGUC